UGGCUCAGUGGUAGAGCGCUUGCUUUGCAUGCAUGAGGCCCUGGUUCGAUUCCUGA
rnacentral:tRNA from 1 species